CGGCGGACGGGUGAGUAACGCGUGGGUAACCUGCCUCAUACAGGGGGAUAACAGUUGGAAACGGCUGCUAAUACCGCAUAAGCGCACAGUACCGCAUGGUACGGUGUGAAAAACUCCGGUGGUAUGAGAUGGACCCGCGUCUGAUUAGGUAGUUGGUGGGGUAACGGCCUACCAAGCCGACGAUCAGUAGCCGACCUGAGAGGGUGACCGGCCACAUUGGGCUGAGACACGGCCCAA
rnacentral:rRNA from 1 species